UAAGUGGUGGAAAUUAAACCAACUGGGAUCUCUUCAGUAAUUGCGCAUGAACCAGGAUAUGCUUAGCUUGACAAAUGGAGCUGCUGGCUCUGAAUUGUAUUGUGGGAAUGUAUUACCAACAGAGGUGCAGGUGUCAGCCAUUUGAAAGAAAGCAUCAAUGAGGGUGAGAGUCCUGUUUGUCAUGUGCAGCCUUCUGUGCACGGUGUAUAUUUGCUGAGUCACACUCCUCGGCAUUGGAAUGCAAAGUGGGUGGUAAGUUUCAUGCAAAGGUAAAUAUGCAAUUGAGACUGAUAGCGCACAAGUACCAUGAGGGACAUAUGAAAAGGACUUUGAACAGAGAAUUAAAUGAGUUUGUAUUUGCUAAACACAAAGUAAACAGACUUGAUUUCCUCAGUGAGAUUGUAGUGCUUGCUUGACAAUGGGUUUUGGCUGCAAGUGCAAUAAUUCUUGCUUUGUGUGCCAGUUUUAUGUGGACAUUUGAUUACCUUUGCACAUGAAUGGUAAUUUUCCUGCGGGGUGUGGAUUGCAUAUGCAUGUAAUGAUUUGCAUGUUUGUUAAAUGUGUCUGGUGUAUUUGUUUGUGUCCUUGUCCUUGAGGUUGCUUUCUCCCUUGGGCUUACAUGCCCUGGCACACACAUUCUGGCAAAAUGCUUCUGCUUGACCCG
rnacentral:rRNA from 1 species